GAGAGUCAAAAAGACCGCGAAACCGUUAGGAGGGAAACGAAUGCAGCUAAAUUAGCUCUGUUUCAGGCUCAGGGGUGACGUCGGUUGGCGAUGCCAGAUUUCAAAAGCCGAUAGGUUUUGUCUUUUGGAUAGCUGCCGACUCCUCUGCAUUCCUGUGCACGAGCUGGCCAACAACAGUUGCCUGUGGCUGAGGAGGGCAGUUGGGUAGGUAGUUCUCCUUCUCGGAGAAAACGUAUAGCCAUCUGUCUGGAAGUCCGCGGGCGAUUGAGGAAAACUGGCAGCGCAGGCCCUCUGGGUUUGGGCCGCUUCUGGUCGUUUGGGCGCCGGGCCUGGGACUGCGUGCAGUGUCUGGUGACGGUUGUCUGCUCGGGCGGGAGGUCGGUCACACCUUGCGCUGUAGUUGUUGGUGUUCAAAUGGCUGCAUCCGACCCGUCU
rnacentral:rRNA from 1 species